AAUUCCCCGUGAAGAUGCGGGGUUCCUGCGGUUAGACGGAAAGACCCCGUGCACCUUUACUGCAACUUUGCACUGGCAAUCGUGUUUGCAUGUGUAGAAUAGGUGGUAGGCAUUGAAGCAGAGGCGCCAGCUUCUGUGGAGCCGCAAUGUGAAAUACCACCCUUAUGAACAUGGUUGUCUAACCGCGGACCGUUAUCCGGUUCCGGGACAGCGCAUGGUGGGCAGUUUGACUGGGGCGGUCGCCUCCCCAAAAGGAAAAGAGGGGCGC
rnacentral:rRNA from 1 species